UCAGAGUUAGAAGGGAAUCAAGAGAGUAUCCAGAACAAUACUUAUUUCUGAAGAUGAAGGUUCAAGGUAACAGAAAAUAGAAGCACCAGGCUCCAAGUGUCUGGUUUAGGAAUCUGCUUCUCCAGUGUCUCAUCAUCCGCACUUGAUCUUCAUUGCCGAUGGGAAUGCAAAAUGGUGCAACCUGUAUGGAAGGGAUUUGGCAGCAUCUGGCAAGAGUGCACACACCUGGAAUCAGCAAACCCACUUCUAGGAAUCUAUCUCAAAGAUAAAAUGGCAAAAACACAAAGUGACCUAUGCAUGAGGCUAUUAAUUCUAGCACUGUUUGUGAGAAGAAAAGCUUAGAAACAGCCCAAGUGUCCUUCAGGAUCAUAAACAAUGGCACAGCCACCAUGGAGCACCAUGCAGCUGGAAAAAAGAAAGGUGGAAGCUUUCCACACGGAAGCUUCCACAGACUAUAACCGUGUGAUCUUCUGCAUUCAUUCAGUGGAAAAAGCAAGGCGUAGGAGAAAAGUUACAAUAUGCUACUUCUGGUAUAAAAGUGGUGGUGACGGUAGGGAAUCUAUAUACACAUUUGCUUAUGUGUGUGUGUUUUUUUAAGCAAUGUGUGGCUCUCUGACUCUUACAGUUUUUGGAAACUCUGCUACUGUUUCCUGCCAGUCACUUGCUAAAAUGCGCCUGAGAUUGUCAUUCUGCUUGGAUACCCUGCAGCACCCUGCUCACUGUGUUGCCAGUGUUGCCCUCUAGCCCAAGUCUGUGCCUCUCUCACCAGAUUCCAGCUCUCUGUCCUUGCUUGGCUGGCUCUGUAUUCCCACAACCCUCUCUGACCUACCACUUCUAGACGAGAGCAAUGCAGAGGGCCGAAACUACAAAAUAAAUGAUGGUUUCAAAAGCAACCUAUAGGCAUUCAGGACUACUAAACUUACUAUGUAUAUAAUGCAACCUAGGGGCAUCUGGGUGGCUCAGUUGGUUAAGCGGUUAAACCUCCAACUUCGGCUCAGGUCAUGGUCUCACAGUUCAUGAGUUCUGGUCCCGCAUCAGGCUCACUGUUCUCAGUGCGGAGCCUGCGUAAGUCUCUGUCUGCACCCCCAACCCUUCCUCACACUCUCUCACUCUUAAAAAAAAAAAAAAAAAAUGGAAACUGUAUUUUGUUGUUUCCUGUACUUAAGGACAGAAGUUCUCAGUUAAAGCAAGUGCCCUUCGGUUGGGCAAAUCACUUUCCUGGAGCAAAAAAGAUAAAGUAAGCUGACAGGCUUUCACUUAGAGAAGUGUGUAAAUUAAAGUAAGUCUAGAAUAAAUUUAUCAGAAGCCAAGCUCAUUGGUACAUGUGAAAGAAACCCUUGGAAUUCUAUUGACUUGGCAUAGUGCUGGGUCUAUAGUGAAUAUCCAGGGAAUAGUUAUUGAAUAUUUGUUGAAUUAGAUAGCUUUUGUAAAGCUGUCUGAAAAGUAAAGUAAUGUUCAUUAGCCCAUGAAGAAACAACCUCUUAAAAUAAAUUUCUAGGUAGCUCAGCAAAAGUGGAAAGAAAUGUGAAAGAGCAAGGGAAACUUCUGGCUUGGUUUGAUAAGAGCCCUGGCUUAAUUUCAAUACACUUGGUAAGUAGAGUUUAGGCUAAUGUUGCUCGGGCCUCCAUAAUGCAGUCCAGGGAAUAACUACUAUUCCAGACACAAUAGGCGGUCAGCUUUUCAACAUCAGUGGUGUUUUUUUGCCUAUAGUUGUAAUCUGUAGACACCUCAGUGGUUACAAAAGACUCCUUAGUUCCCUCCAAAUAUAUUAGUCCUUGUUAGACAUGCAAAUCUUUUCGAAUUCCAUAGGGAAAUAAAUCCCCAUUAAAAAAAAAAAAACCCAGAAUUUGAAGGAUGAAACGAAAGACAGGUAAGACAAUUCCCAGAGUCCACAUGCUGCUUUCAGAAAGCCCAAGCAAUCCUUAAAAUUCUAAAGCUAUCAGAGGUGACUGCCCUCAAAGCACACAGGGCGCCCUGUGUAAAUGUCUAGGGUGCCCCUGUCUUUCCAUCAUGGUCUGUUAUAUUCUCUUCUAAGGCACACAAGUCCUCCCAUGUCUGAGAAUAGGGUGUAUCCAAGAAGUCAAAUUGCAAAUGAAGAAUACAAUAUCAGGGUGAGAAUCUCUUUUACUUGAUGGGAUUUUAUAUUGAUUUCCCAUAUUUAGGAUUUAUUUCCAACAGUCAUCCUUCCUCCCCAAGCAAUAAUGAUUUCAAAGGAGAGAUCAAGACAGUGCAAAGAAGGGAGAAUGCUAGAAACAGGAGUUCUGAAUUAAUGAGUUUGGGAGAAGUAGACAAUCAAUCUGAAUAAUUAGGAUCAAACCCCAAGCUUUGUUUUUGCAUGGCUGUGUAGUUCUGGUCAAGGAGCUAAUUUUAAAUGAUUAGCCACUCCUGUCUUUUAAAUAGGUUCUUAAAUAAAACACUUAAUCUUGAUCUAUGAGUACAUAUGCAAAACAAGGAGAGGGGAUUG